rnacentral:rRNA from 1 species
UACGUAGGGUGCGAGCGUUGUCCGGAAUUAUUGGGCGUAAAGAGCUUGUAGGCGGUUUGUCGCGUCUGCCGUGAAAAUCCGGGGCUCAACCCCGGACUUGCGGUGGGUACGGGCAGACUAGAGUGUGGUAGGGGAGACUGGAAUUCCUGGUGUAGCGGUGAAAUGCGCAGAUAUCAGGAGGAACACCAGUGGCGAAGGCGGUGCUCUGGGCCGGAACUGACGCUGAGGAGCGAAAGCGUGGGGAGCAAACAGG